UGUUCUCCAUGCUGCCAGAUGGGUUGCGUCAAACCGUUAACCCGUGCAAGUCAACACUGGAAAGAGAUUUUAAGUCAGGCGUGAUUCUUUGUUUUAUUUUAUUAUUUCAUUGGUUACUAGUCGCAUAUGCAUGGUCUCAUUUCUUGGCAGGAUAAUUUCUUGAUCCCAAAAAAUAAUAAAGAUAAAUAGAAACGAGACAGCAAUCACAGGCCCACAUGCAAGGCCAGUUUGGUAUCGCUCCACGUAGCUCCAGCUCCCUCUGACCCUCUACUGUUCAUUGAAGUCUCUUUUCUCUCUCCUCU
rnacentral:lncRNA from 1 species